AGAUAAAGAUCUAUUCCUUAGUCACACCAAACAAGGCAGAUCUAUAGGUCAAUCCUAAAUAUUGGAUAAAGAUGACAAUUCAAGUCUAUGAGAUAAAGGAUGAAUUACUUUGUAGUGCUAUAGGUAUGACACACUAAUCAUUUCAAAAAGAAUUAAGUUAGACCCCUCUUCAAGCCAAAUAACAAAAAUAAAGCUUGAAAUGUAAAAAGUAAAACAUAAAAAUUCAAAGAAACUACUUUAUUUAUAAUUUUAUUUGACACUUAUAUUGUGCUUGCCAUGUUCUAUGCCCAGUUCUAAUUGCUUCAAUCCUCCUAACAACCGUAUGAGAUAAAUAUUAUUUUUACUCUUAUUUUAUGGACAAGGAACUUUUAGUACAGGAAGGGUAAGUAUCUGCCCAAAUGUCACACAGUAAGUGGCAGAACCAAAAUUAGAAUCCAUGAAGUCAAAUUCAAUGAGCGUGUCUCUAGAGUCCCUGCUCUUCUACAUUAUGCUGAGUAACUAAAAGUAAAUAUACAUAAAAUUAUGGUCUGCCCCAAGCAGGAUCCCAAAGGCAGUCACCAUAAGCUGACAGGUAUAAAUUGAUAAGUCUUAUUAUCUAGAAAUAUUAAAUAUCUUGCAUGUCAAAGACACCAUAAACAAAAAGCCAUAAACAAUAAGCUAGAAAAAAACUACCUGUAAAAUACACGUCAAAGGAUCGAUACCUUUUAUAUAAGAAGCGCUCUUACCAACAAAGAAAAAAAUUCACACUUAGAAAAAUGGGCAAAUGACAUAAAGAGUGGCCAAUAAAUAUAUGAAAAAGUGGUCAAUUCAUAAUUAAGGGAAUGCAAAUUAAAAUAACAAUGAAACAUACAGAAUGUUGGGACUGUUAUUUGUGCUCUCUGUGGGGUAGUUGGAUAAAAUUGGGCAGCUAAAAUUUUCACUCCUGUGUGCCUCCUAAAUUAAAAAAAAAAAAAAUUUUGUAAAUUGACUUGCAGA